rnacentral:rRNA from 1 species
UUUAAAUGGCCGCAGUAUACUAACUGUGCAAAGGUAGCAUAAUCAUUAGUCUUUUAAUUGAAGGCUUGUAUGAAUGGUUGGACGAGAUAUUAACUGUUUCAUAAAAAUUUAUAUUAGAAUUUUAUUUUUUAGUCAAAAAGCUAAAAUAUUUUUAAAAGACGAGAAGACCCUAUAAAUCUUUAUAUUUAAAUUAUUAUAAUUUUUUGGAUUUUUUGUGUUAUAAUAAUUAAUAAUAUUUUAUUGGGGUGAUAUUAAAAUUUGAUAAACUUUUAAUUUUUAAAGUCAUUAAUUAAUGAAUAAUUGAUCCGUUAUUAACGAUUAAAAAACUAAGUUACUUUAGGGAUAACAGCGUAAUUUUUUUGGAGAGUUCAUAUCGAUAAAAAAGAUUGCGACCUCGAUGUUGGAUUAAGAUAUAAUUUUAGGUGUAGCCGCUUAAAUUUUAAGUCUGUUCGACUUUUAAUUUCUUAC